rnacentral:rRNA from 1 species
GAUGAACGCUGGCGGCGUGCCUAAUACAUGCAAGUCGAGCGAACAGACGAGGAGCUUGCUCCUCUGACGUUAGCGGCGGACGGGUGAGUAACACGUGGAUAACCUACCUAUAAGACUGGGAUAACUUCGGGAAACCGGAGCUAAUACCGGAUAAUAUAUUGAACCGCAUGGUUCAAUAGUGAAAGACGGUUUUGCGGUCACUUAUAGAUGGAUCCGCGCCGCAUUAGCUAGUUGGUAAGGUUACGGCUUACCAAGGCAACGAUGCGUAGCCGACCUGAGAGGGUGAUCGGCCACACUGGAGCUGAGACACGGUCCAGGCUCCUACGGGAGGCCGCAGUAGGGAAGCUUCCGCGAUGGGCGGAAGCUUGACGGAGCAACGCCGCGUGGGUGAUGAAGGUCUUCGGAUCGUAAGACUCUGUUAUUGGGGAAGAACAAAUGUGUAAGUAACUAUGCACGUCUUGACGGUACCUAGUCAGAAAGCCACGGCUAACUACGUG